rnacentral:lncRNA from 1 species
GAGCAUUUGUACCUCAGGGGAGAGGGCCCCUGACCCAUGAGGAGGUCCUGUGGCCAGCUGCCCAGAGUAGAAAAAUGUGUAUUCAGCGGAACCCCUAUCAGUGGAGCAAAUGUUGAGAACCUGGUAGGUGGUACCACGUUGUACAACUGCACCCCGAGCAGUAGGUGUCACUGUAGUCAGUGGCUUCUGACUGCUCAGAGCUGAAGGGGUUAAUUGGGUCUGGUUUAUUUGGGCAGAUAAAGGUCCAUCUGUGCCCUCCCGGCUGCUUGUCUUUGUCGCUAGGGCCCCAGUUGACACCAAUGAAAGACUCCAGUCCAUGUUGAAAGGCACCAUUUUUCUCUCCAAGAAGGGAAGCAAGAUACCUUCCCAUCUAUAUUUUAGAGUCAGGGGCUAGGCUGUUUGAUGUGAUGCGGUGGGUUGAGUUGAGGGGGAUAAACAGAAGUGACAGACUCCUUCUCAAGUCUGGUGGGGGACCUGGGAUGGAGGGGAAGGGAAAAUUCUAUUAAGAGAAAUGAAAGAAUAUGGACUCGCGGAAUACAUUUCCUUGUUGUUAUUGGCCCUGAGCCCUGUUACAUUGAGGCGGUGUGAGCUUUCAGAACUUCUAUCAGCAUCCUUCUCAGAAAUUUCCCUUUUACCACAAAGGAAGCAAAGAGAGAGAGAGAAAAAAAAAAAAUCUCUCUCCAGCAGAGAUGUACUUCUUUUUUGGCGCUUUCCACCCCAGAAAGUUAAUUCUCAAAUGCUAAAAUGGAAUUUAGGAUUUAGAAACAGCUACUCUGUGGACUAAUUAAAAAAAACAAACAAACCCAACAACAAAAAAAUCCACCCAAAACCCUGGGAUUACAUAGCCAAUUGCUUUUUCAAGUACACCCAAUUUUACUUUUUCUUUUCUAGUAGCACCCUGGUGUGAAAACAAAAUAAAACCGAGUAAGCCUGCUGUACAGUUUUAGAUUCAUCUUAUCUCUUAUUAUAAUUAUUUUUCUUUUGCCUAGAGAACCGAUCUCUCUCCCAACGCACCACACGUGCAGCACAGAGCAGUUUGUCCUUUAAAAAAAAAUACAGGAAGGCUUUCUGUAUAUGAUUUAUACAGGUACUCAUUAAAAAUAACUCCUGUCCAGUCUCUGCUCUUCCCCAUAGCCUGCCGGUUGGUUGUGCUUAACUCCCCGAUUAAGCCUUGCUCUUAAUGCUACAGUGUGUUAAGCUCAGACUGCUCUCUUUCUCUCUCUCUCUCUCCCCUUCCGUCUCCCCUCCGAGUGAGUGGCUCGUUUUAAACCAUCCGCACGCUCCCUGAGCCUGGUGGCGUCGCUUCCUGCCUCCCUGGCUCGCUGUUGCUAAGUGAGAGGCAGCAGAUCACCCGUAAAGCUGAACCAAUAGCAUCCUGACCCCCAUAGGCUGGUAAAAGCCGAAGAAAAGAGACUCCCACCGCGUUGUCUGUGGCCGGCGGGUCCUCCUCCCCCUCCCUCUCCCCUCCCACCUUUUCUUUUCCAACAGGAAGGGGAGGCGGUGAGGGAGCCAGGAGGAGGAAGAGGGAAGAAAGAGGGUGGGGGAGGUGAAUCCUAAUCUGCCUGGCUGUACUUGAGAUAAAUGCCAUUUUUUCUUUGUGGAGAAAGGGAAUGGGCGCUUCUCUUCAGCAAUCACAGACCGGCAGAUGCGCUGCUUUCUGCCCCCAAACUGCCGGCUGUUGUCAAAGCUCAAACUCGGAAUGAGACGUUUGUCGACCUGCAGACAGACCUGCAUAUCUGCUCUGCUUCCUUCUCCCUCUCUCUCUCUCUCUCUCCACGCCCCCCCACCUCUCUCCACAGCUCUGUGACUCUUUUAAUCCCUAUAGUCGUGCAGAUCUUGGCACCCUCUGUUCAUUCUUCCUCUUCACCUCUCCCUUUCUUCUGUCUGGCAGUACUCUAGUCCAGAAAUGCCUUUCCUUGAAUGUACAAAUGGGCAAAGGGUAUUUUGUAUCUUGUCCUGUGGAAGGAGUCAUCUGAUCAUCCUGGGGAAUGAGUGAGAGCGGAGGAAUAUUUAUAAAGGCAAUUAAAAAAAAAUUCCCCAUUAAGAAUGUCAUUGUCUUUGGUAAGGUCUAUGCAAGCACAGGACGAGAUGAAAGGCUGUUCCUAUCUGGAUAACUGCCAGUGUAGACAGCCAGUGGUAGAGUUGCGAUUAUACAGAGGAAGUGACCUUUCUCCUAUAAUUACUUGGGUAUUUUGGGCAACAGCAGACUCAAGUUACCUGAGUAAUUACGGCUUUGUAGAUCUGACCUUCCAACAAGACAGAUUCUAGGUAAGUUUUCCAGGGAGAAUGUUUGCUAUCUUUGGUGAUAAAAGGAGCGAAGGCAUCCAGUAUUUUUGCAACCAGAUGAAGUCCAGUUACCAGGAGGCUUUCUUCGGUUCAUUGCUCAAUCGAUUCCCAGUAAAGGUCCUUUACUGGACAUUUUGGAGAUGGCUUAUUGUUUGGUGGCUCCUGUGCCUUUGGAAAAAAUAACUCGUGUUUCUCAGUCAAGGGUGUUGUGGUUUCCUGUAACCUAUUCCUGGAUUUGCUUGUGUUGUGGUAGGAUAUCAAACGCACGAUACUCAUGGUUAAACUGUCCAUUUCCCUCAAGAAAUUUUCCUUUCAUACUUGAAAUCCUAUCAUACUGCUGGACCAGAAAUCCCGUCCACUUACUCAGUAUCACACAGAAAAGUGAUCGUUAUUUUCCCACUCCACCUACUUUCUCUAGCCUUUAUACCAACUUCUGUCUGUCUUUUCUUUUUUUUUUUUUGAACCCAAACUAAAAUAUUUUCAUAAAGGGGAAGCGUGGGGGGAUCAGAUUAACCAAAAGGGAAUUACCAGGGAAAAACCUUCACAAGCGCUCAGCAACUAGAAUGUUUUUGUUUUAAGAGUUUAUCUUUUUCUUAAUACCAUGACGUAAAUGACAGUCAAUACAGGUCUAAGCUAAAGCAUUUAAAGCCAAAAUUUGUAGAUGAUCUCUAGACAUCAUCUCACUCACUUUCAGUCCCUUCCAGGUUAGGUCGGAGCUAUUUGCUGGUUGCCCAGUGCUCAGAAUUGAGUGAUACCUUCAUCUUCUGCUGUGCCCAUUUUUGAAACGGAGAGCCGAUGACAAAAUAAAGCUCCACAAGUGAGCAAAGAGGUUAAAAGGGGUGUAUGUGCAUGAGGUGGGGCCAGCAUGCCCUGUAGAACUGCCUUGCCCCCCAGUUGGUCACUAGAUUAGAAUUGUUAGCUGUUAUUCAUUUACCACUUGCCUGUUUUCUGUACAGCCCUGUGCUGAGAGUUUUGAGCUGGAAACACAGUCUAAGCUGGGUCCGGCUUGGUGUCCCUCUCUCUGGGUUGCAACCCUCUGGGUUUUCAUUGUUCAGACACGGGCACAGGCUUUAGCCACAUUAACCUUCCAGGACCAGCUCAUCCUGCUUUUCUCCUACUUGGUAAUUCUCUCGCUUCAAAUCGCUGGGUCCCGCCCACCUCUGCUGCCCAGAAUUUCCUGACUCAGCCAUUCAAGCACAAAUCCUUCUAAGUCCCUCAGCACUUUCUCCCCAAAUUUGCACUUGUCUCGUGUACUUUCUAGACAUUAGUUUCGACUUCUCUGCCCUGGAUACCUGGCUACUCUGUUUCCUCUCCACUGGGUCUUCUCUUCCAGACAACUUCUCUUCCUCCAGUCCCUGUGGAAAUCUGCCCCCCCCUACCCCCCCAAAGCCAUCUUAAGUUCUUUGCUCAGUGCAACUUUUUUCUCAGUCUCUCCUACUCAGAAAGCAUCUCCCAGUCCUCUGAAGCACUGCAGCCUCUUUCUGUAGAAACUCCCCAUCAUCUGAUUUGACUUGUACUUGCUGUAUCCUUGGUGGUGCCAAGGUCAGCUCAGAGGAGGGCAUUCAACAUUCUACAAUAUUCCCCAUCAGCCUCCCUGCAAAGCCACUUCGAAUAAAUAUAUAAUUACACACCAACUGCAUUUGCUCUGCAAACACGUCUUCAAGAUCAUCUCCCAAGUGCCCUUGGCGUCCCAAUCGCUAACCCUAAGUUCCUCCUUUAUAGAAAUUCUGAAACUCUAUCCUGCUCACUUUAAGUGUCUCAGGGCCGCAGCUGUGUCUUCAGAGUUCCCAGAGCGCAUACAGUAAAUGCCUGGCACCCAAAAGGCACUGGGGAUGCUUGCUGAAUGAUCACAUCCUAAAGCCCAGGAAACUUUAGAGAUUAUGUCUGUAGCUCUCCAGGUUUUCAAACUAUAUAGAUAGAGAAGAGUGGAGUUUGAUGUGAAUAUUUUAAAUCAGGUCCUGAGACAUCAAAAGUCAGUGAAAUAUUACUGUAUUUAUUAAGAGAGGGUAGAUGAUGAUAUAGAAUAGACAGUCCCCAAAUCUGAGUGGUUUGAAGCAAUGAAACUCUAAUUCUUGCUCCUGUUUAUUGUGGAUUGGUAGGGGGAGGGACUCUGCUUAUCACUUCUGUCUUUCAGGGACACACUCUUGACGGAAUUAACCACCAUCUCAGGCCAGUGGUUGUGCCAAAGGAAACGGGGCCCAAGGAUGCUUUUGGAGAUGGUGGAUCAAUUUAAGGUUUUGAUUGCAGUGAUGGUCUCAUGGGUGUAUUCUUACCUCCAAACUCACCAAUUUGGAGUUCCUGUCAUGGCUCAGGGGUUAGCGAACCCAACUAGCAGCCAUGAGAAUGCGGGUUCAAUCCCUGGCCUCCGGUGGGUUAAGGAUACGGUGUUGAUGUGAGUUGUGGUGUAGGUUGCAGAUAUGGCUCGGAUCUGGCUUUGCUGUGGCUCUGGCAUAGGCCGGUGGCUACAGCUCCAAUUGGACUCCCAGCCUGGGAACCUCCAUAUGCUGUGGGUGUGCCCCCCCCCAAAAAAAAGGCUAAACUCACCCAUUUAAUGUUCCAGCCCAGAAACCUGGCCCUUGGUGGCUCACAGUGCUUUUGGUCAGAAGUGGUCACAUGAUCCCAUCUACCCACAGGAAGGCCAGGAAGUAUAGUUUUGCUGUGUGCCUAGAAGAUAGCAAGUUAGAAAUACUUGGCAAAUAGCAUAAGAGAACCCCCCAACACAUACACGCAUUUUAUCACUCACUCAAAGGUUUUUCGAGGAAAUUUCUAGUUAAUAGUGAGCUUGGAAGCAUAGAGAAUAUUCACAUAAUUCCUCUCCCUUUUCUUAUAGUGUUCUUACCCUUACCGCUGAGACAGAUCGCACUUCGUAACUCUGGAAAGCUUGGCCAUAGCAAUUAAGGGAUAAGUGGUUCUGUUGUCUCGAAGUGUAAAAUGAAGAACUUGCCCCUUGCUUACCUCUUCAGCUGCUCUCAUCAAUACUUCAGAGGCUCUUAUGAUGGGUAAAUUAUGCUCUAGACACCUAUCCAAGGAUUGCCCCCGGGUUCACGUUGAAUGUUGUCACAGUCAAGAUCAUAGAAAAUCUGCACAAGUUUUUAUGAAUUUAUUCCAAGAAAUUAGAGAGUAUACAAAUAGUACAGAUUAGCUGCUUCAUGUUUCAUAGUAAAAUGUUGGAAACAGUCUAAAUGUCCAACAGGAGGGGAUUAGCCAUGUCACCUUCUGGAAUGUGUAAAAAUGAAAUAUGUGUUACCAUUAAAAUUCUAUUUGAGGGGUUCCUGUCAUGGCGCAGUGGAGACAAAUCCAACUAGGAACCAUGAGGUUGAGGGUUUGAUCCCUGGCCUUACUCAGUGGGUUAAGGAUCCGGCGUUGCUGUGAGCUGUGGUGUAGAUUGCAGAUGUGGCUCGGAUCUGGCGUUGCUAUGGCUGUGGUAUAGGCCAGCAGUUGUAGCUCCGAUUCUACCCCUAGUCUGGGAACCUCCAUAUGCUGCAGGUGCAGCCCUAAAAAGACAACAGACCAAAAAAAAAAAAAA